GGAGAGGUGGCAGAGUGGCCGAUCGCGCACGCCUUGAGAGCGUGUUCCCGCCUUUGGCGGGACGUGGGUUCGAAUCCCACCCUCUCCGCCA
rnacentral:tRNA from 4 species